CUGGCUACACCUAAUCCCGAGCCCACCUCCAACAUCCGGGAAAUCAUCAAGAAGUAUAACAACCGACCCCAAACGGAAGCCAAACCCUUUCUGCCUGUCAGACCUCCUACACGGCAUUUUGUAAAGAAGAAUGACCCCAAAGAGGAAGCUCUGGCCAAACUCAAAAACAAAGCACCAGUGCCACAGCCGAAGAACCAGUGGGUUCCUCCGCCAGCCGAGCCCAAGUGGCAGCCUCCUCCUCCCAGGACCCCGUCCCCACAGUCCUCCUCUCCUCCCUCCACCAGUGGGCCCCGUGUCA